CAAAAUUCACAACAAUUUUCAACAUCAAAUAUUAACAACUUUUUUUUUUUUUCUUUUAAAGAACAUUUGUUUCUUUUCAACAUUUAUAAAUCAAGUCUGUCUGGUGGUUUGCGAACCCUCUCAGGAUAUCUGCGUCCAGGAGGAUCAGUGAAAACCUCGGGCCAUUUUGAAUGAGCGUCGACCACAAUAAGGAACAUGUGAUCCAUGAAAGGUCCAGCAUAGUCAAUGUGAAUGCGUUGCCAUGGGGCAACAGGCCAUUCCCAAGUGUGGACAGGGGCAAUCUGAGCGAGUUUAGAACUUUGGAUCGCAGUUUGGGAGGUACAACAACGCGUGACCCCCACAGGACAC